UUUUAAAAUAGGCGAUGCCACCAUAUGGAUCGAAUUCCGUCUUCAAAUGGAAAGAGAUAUUUUCAAACAUCCUUGAAUUGAGCAUGCAGAAUGAGGGCGGCAUGAUGCUUACAUACCCACUAAUCUCUGUUAUGACAUGUCUGCAUGACGGAGAGGAUCAUACUCCUGGGUUGAGGAAAGGAGGGCUGUCCACAGAUGACACAAUCAAGAGAUGCAGUGGCCCACAGAGAAUGCAAACGGACAAAAAGACUCACCAUUCCAGCUGCCUUUUAAAAGAAAAUGCCAAUUAAGGAAAAAAAUCGCCUUUCCAAAGAAAUGAUAUAGCAAAAGGGGAAGUAAUAGAAUACUGUCUUUCUUCACAAGAAACUAUUUUUCUUAUCAGACUCUUUCUGGUUAUGGGUUAACACGGGAGGAACACCAGACCGAGGCCUUAUGCAAAGAGCGGGAAAUCCAAAGGACGCUGUCCAGACAAGGUCAGGAUUCACGAUCCAUCAAAGUGAACUGGACUUGAAUCCGGCUUUCCUGGUGUGGCUUAUGGAGCUUACCUGAGCUCAGCUGGUAAAGAAUCCGCCUGCAACGCAGGAGACCUCAGUGUGGCUUAUUCCAGAGGUUUCCAGGUUUGG
ensembl:lncRNA